rnacentral:tRNA from 1 species
GCACCCGUAGCUCAGCUGGAUAGAGUACCUGACUACGAAUCAGGGGGCCACACGUUCGAAUCGUGUCGGGUGCACCA